rnacentral:rRNA from 1 species
UACGUAGGGGGCUAGCGUUGUCCGGAUUUAUUGGGCGUAAAAGAGCGUGUAGGCGGCCAGGUAGGUCUGGUGUGAAAACUCGAGGCUUAACCUCGAGAUGUCAUCGGAAACCAUCUGGCUAGAGUCCGGAAGAGGAGAGUGGAAUUCCUGGUGUAGCGGUGAAAUGCGCAGAUAUCAGGAAGAACACCCGUGGCGAAGGCGGACUCUG